UAUAUAUAUAUAUAUAUAGGUAUAUAAUUAUAUAUGUAUAGAGUGAGGCUACUAUGCUAUCGGAAGUACGGAGUCUUCCGUGCUUCCAGCUCGUUUUCGAUGUUGCGACUUUCGAAUCGUCGAUCGGCUCCGUUAAACUUGAUCUAGAGUAUUUGAACUACCUCAAAAAUAAAUUUUAUAAUUUUACGAUAUCAUUUGCCUAGUAAACAAAGGGGCUCAAAAUCAACGGCUGAAAAUAAAAAUCUUACAAAAUAUAAUAAUAUGACAUUAAAAUUUUAAAUCAAAGAUAUUGAUCUUGUUUUAUAUAGUAUAAAGAAUUUUCUAUCAAAAUUUCACGUGAUUUGGAUAUUCUACACCGUUAAACUUGCAAAUGGUUCACUACGGCCAUUGAAAUUUGUUGAUUUUGAGCCAAUUCGAUCACUAGGCAAAUGAUAUCGAAAAAUAAUAAAAUUUAUUUUCGAGGUACUCCAAAUACUCUAGAUCAAGUUUAACGGAGCCGAUCGACGAUUCGAAAGUCGCAACAUCGAAAACGAGUUGGAAGCACGGAAGGCUCCGUGCUUCCGAUAGCAUAGUAGCCUCACUCUCUCUCUCUCUCUCUCUCUCUCUCUCUCUAUAUAUAUAUAUAUAUAUAU
rnacentral:lncRNA from 1 species